rnacentral:rRNA from 2 species
AAACUUUCAACAACGGAUCUCUUGGCUCUCGCAUCGAUGAAGAACGCAGCGAAAUGUGAUAAGUAAUGUGAAUUGCAGAAUUCAGUGAAUCAUCGAAUCUUUGAACGCAUCUUGCACUCUUUGGUAUUCCGAAGAGUAUGUCUGUUUGAGUGUCAU